UUUCCAACAGGAGAAGAAGAAGCUUCCCUUGACUGGUUUGGCUGGUUUCGGGGAAGUUGGAAACGACGUGGACGGAGUUGCGAAUGAAGAAGUCGUUUAAUCUUAUGAUCGUGCAUCCUGAAGAAAACCCACCAGAGAAGUAAAAAUCUUAACUAAGUCGCGCAGUUGAAGUGUGCUUCUUUUUUUAAAUUUAUUUUUUUACACACAUAACGGCUGGAUUGUUGCGGAGAAUUUCAAAGUGUUUGGAGGAAGGCUCUCGGGCCUAACGAGCUAAUCACAAUGAGUUACGGUAGGCCUCCGCCAGACGUUGACGGCAUGACUUCCCUCAAAGUGGACAACCUCACGUACCGAACAUCGCCGGAAACCCUCAGAAGCGUGUUUGAGGAUUACGGCCGGGUGGGCGACGUGUACAUCCCCCGCGACCGGUACACGAAAGAGAGUCGCGGUUUCGCGUUCGUGCGGUUCCACGACAAACGCGACGCGGAGGAUGCAAUGGACGCCAUGGACGGCGCGCUCCUGGACGGGAGGGAACUGCGUGUUCAGAUGGCCCGAUAUGGAAGACCCCCUGAUUCCCACUCCGGUAGUGGCGGCGGUGGAGGAGGUGGCGGCGGCGGUGGUGGUGGAGGAGGAAGGCGAGGUGGGCCGCCCAGGAGACAAGGUGGCUAUGGACGCCGGAGCAGGAGCUCUUCCCGCAGCCCGAGACGCAGAAGGCGCAGCAGGUCCCGCAGCAGGAGCCGCUCUCGCUCCCGGAGCCGAUCCCGCCACAGCCGAUCCAGGUCCCGGUCCUACUCCCGAUCCAAGUCCCACUCUCCCAAGACCAAGAAGCCCAAGGCAAAGUCCCAUUCUCGUUCCAGAUCUAGAUCCAGAUCCCCGUCCAAGUCCAAGUCCAAGUCCAAAUCCAAAUCCAAGUCCAGGUCCAGAAGCCGUACCCCAGCCUCCAAAAGAGGCUCCAGGUCAAGAUCUAAAAGCCAGCCCAAGUCCGCGGCAGAGAAUGGAGGAGAAACCCCGUAGAUCUCGCCACGCCAGCAACAGCUGCAGCAUCCUGUUUGCUAAAGAGGAGUUUGAGCUGAGGCAGUGUGAGCAGUUAGGUGUGUGGUGAGCUGCCCCGGGGCUGCCUGCUCCUGCUGGUGAGGGUUUCUGUUGCAGAAGGGUGGAGACCUGUCAGGGUUGGGGUUUGGUGUUGAGUUUUCAGGCGAAUACUUCGGAUGUUCAAGACCGGAAUCCAACGCAAGCAUCAGUGUCCUGCUGUAAAAGGUUUUUAUUUUGUCUUUCAUGCUUUGGGUUUGUUUAAUUUUCUUUUGCCACAAAAGGCUUUUUCUUUUUUCUUUUUUUAAUUCAUCAAUGUGCUGUGAUGUUUAUUUCUUUUCAUGGAUUGUUUGAUUUUAAAGCGUCUGGUCCAAUGUGGAGGGAAGUUUCAGUUCUGCAACGAUAAAAACAGGAUAAUAAGGGGUGCAAGUCUCAGCUUUUCGUUUGAAGUUCUUCUCACCUCAUGGCCUGUAUCAAGAAGCGAGCAAUGUAGUCAAACCUUAUGUGCUUCUUCUAAACGUUGAGUCUGUAAUGACUGUGGCCACUAACUGACUCAGUACAGAGGUGGACUCAUUUGGCCAGUCAAAUGUAUGAAUGUGAUUUAACCUGUAAUAACACCAAAAGUCUGCUUAUUUUCACUGUGUGCUACCUGCUUUCACAUUGACUAUUUCUAAUACAACCUUGAGAAGCUGAUCGAUAGCCUGUAACACACAUGAACUCCUGACUUUCUGUCUUGGAUAAUUUCAGGCCCUUGUGUUUUUGGGAGCCUUUCACACAUGAUCCUCACAGCGGUAAAUUUGUGUCGGAACAACCUCCCACAAAACACUUCAAAUUUAGGUGUAGCAGAGCUUUUAUUGUUUAAAUCGCAACAUGUAUGGGCGCGCAGGAAAGCUCCCUUUUGAGUGAAUGUCAUCACCCCGCCUGCUCGUUGGGAGUGAUUUCAUAGUACCAGAUCUAACGUUGACAUUUAGCAAGGCGGCUGGCAGGUAUAAAAGUCCUCGUGAAGUCAUGGUGUCACUGCUUUUAGAUCACAUGCACCCUAACCUGGAAAUGUUGGGAAAUUUUCACCAGAGUAGUGCAUGUGUGAAAGGGGCUAAAGAAAUUCUUUAGCAACCCAGCGCUACAUACGUUUUCCUGCUUUGGCUGAAAGAAUUUGACUAAUAAAAAUCAAAACCAUUUUACAUGUUUCCCUGGCUAAUUUCUACAUUUGUUCUUUUGCAUGUAACCCUACAUUUAAAUCUUUACUUUACUGUUGGCUUUGAAAACCAUAUUUUACUGUUAAGGUCUCAAUGUAAGCAAACCCUAAAGACAUUUCAUCUUGUAUUUCUUUCACAUCAGCCAUUGUGUUGUUGGUGAGUCAUCUUUAAUACCAAAAAGCCUUGGGAUUAGCAUAAGUAAAUUGGUCAUGACGUUAAUCUCGCUAAGUGAUACAGGCCCAACACAUGGGCGUGGUUUUCUUCAUUUGUGUUUAUUUCUUGUUCAAAAUGACAUUAAAAAAACCAAACAUCCAAAGUGAUAUAAUAAUCCUAAAGUUGUUUAACUUGUGAUUCUAAAGCAGUGCCGAUCAUCAAACUGAAUUAAUCCUCUUUAAAAAUGUCACCUGCUCCAUUUCCACUCAUUGAUUUUGGCUGUUCAGGAUUUCCUUUGUUUGCCAAAACCUCCGAUCAUUUCCCCCUCCUGUGGUAAAUGUCUUAAAUGUAACUGCUGAUGGUUUAAAAACACUGAAACAACUGCAAUAAAGCAUUUAAGAAAUCCUGUGAGGACAUCACACACUUUGAAACAUCUUCUAAAGUCAUUUAAUUUGACAGGUUCACUCAACCCUGGACCUUUUUUUUUUCUUUUGUAUUUUUCCCCUUUUUUAAAAAAAGUUUUUUCUUUUUUGAUCCUAAUCUUGCUUGUAUUGUUUCUUUGUGCACUAGGCGCAGUUGUGUAGCAGAUGGGUUUUGCUGGUUAGCUGUUGAGGUUGCGUGUUGCUCUGCUGAGUGCUCGGGGGUUUCCGGUAUUCUCCAGAAAGCUCCGGUGACUACCAGCCGUAUGCUGGCUACACUCUCAACCCUCUGUACCAUGAAAUGUUUCCCCCACGUGGUCAUGGAUGACAAAUGUGACUUUCAUUAAAGAUUUUGGUGUUUUGUCUAAAA